GACGAACGCUGGCGGCGUGCUAAACACAUGCAAGUCGAACGAUGAACCCGGAGCUUGCUCCGGUGGAUUAGUGGCGAACGGGUGAGUAACACGUGAGUAACCUGCCCUUGACUCUGGGAUAACUGCGGGAAACUGUAGCUAAUACCGGAUACGACCCUCGGCGGCAUCGCCAGGGGGUGGAAAGUUUUUCGGUCUGGGAUGGGCCCGCGGCCUAUCAGCUUGUUGGUGAGGUAACGGCUCACCAAGGCGACGACGGGUAGCCGGCCUGAGAGGGCGACCGGCCACACUGGGACUGAGACACGGCCCAGACUCCUACGGGAGGCAGCAGUGGGGAAUAUUGCGCAAUGGGCGAAAGCCUGACGCAGCAACGCCGCGUGAGGGAUGACGGCCUUCGGGUUGUAAACCUCUUUCAGCAGGGAAGAAGCGAAAGUGACGGUACCUGCAGAAGAAGCACCGGCUAACUACGUGCCAGCAGCCGCCGUAA
rnacentral:rRNA from 1 species